GAAACCUUACUGCUGUAGCAGCUAGAGCGUUAGCAGGUGUGGCUGCCUUAUACUGUUCUACACAGGGUUGUGCUAAUAACUGCUGCUUUCAAAUUACUGGGAAGACUAUUGGUAGGUCCCACAGAGCACAUCGUUUUGUCUUUGUGAUUUUAUUCCAAAGCGAGGUGGGAAGAAGUUCCAAAUGAAAGCUUGUGAGAUAGGUUUGGGAGCUCUUCGUUUCCUAUGGUCACACUAUGCAUGCGUGGAAAAUUAAUGUCAACGACAAAACCUCUGCAAGGACAUCAGCACCCACCUGGGGAGCACCGUAGUGAGGCUGUGGAUGUCAGCAGGAAGCCACCGCUUCGUUUGCACCUUUCGUUUUCGACGUUUCAGGGCGAGCUGCAAUACCACAGCCCGCGCGUUAAACGGGAAAUGAAACAGAAAUGGAAAUGAACGCCCGCAUCUGUCCCGUUUUUAAGGUAAAGGCAGAAAUCACCUCGUGUCUCCCAGUCCGGCCACGUUCACCCAAGGAAGGUGGGGAGAAGUCAAUGUCCAGGGAAAAUGUGCAACCAUCAUCUGCAAACGAAGAGUGGGAAAUCCUACGGGAUACGGUGAUGGAGCAAAAGGGGGGGAUGGAAAACAUCUGUACGUCGGUUGAGCAUCGGGAGCCUUUGUGCCCGAGUCGUUUUGGAAGGCGGAGGGGCAUCGGGACUUCCCGUCCCUCCCUGUGCCCUUCCUGUGUUGCGCAGCGGUCACAGAGAAGGACGCACCGGGGAGCGCUGGGCACAGCCGUGUCCCCGAAAUUUGCACCUGCAAAGAGGGAGCGAGCCAGGCGAGGGGAAUGUGCGACGGGAUGGAGAAAUAUCGAAUGUUUCUGGCCGUGUGCGUUGCCAAAGGUUUGCACAUUUUGUCUGAAAACACCCAGAGUUAGAGGCGGAGGGGAGAGAGGGGGGAUUUUAAUAAAAACCAUUUGCCACUUGUCUUCAAUUAGAGUCCAGACAUCGAGCAAUAAGGAAAAAACCUUUUCUAAUAUAUAUAUAUAUUAUUAUUAUUAUUAUCUCGCUAGCAGUCGGGCUGAAGAGGUAAAGGCGGUUCGCACGCAACGAUUUCAGGGCAAGGAGUUAAAACGAGCGAGCGAAUUCAGGCGCCGUUGUCGCCGUUCGUGCCGGCUCCUCCUGCCCCGGCAGCUCCCCGCCUCGCCCCGGCACACGCCGCGGAGCUUCGCACCGCUUCCCCGCACGGGAAGGGCUCCUCCGCCCGCGGACGGACCCCCGACGGCAG
ensembl:lncRNA